UGGGGAAUAUUGGACAAUGGGCGAAAGCCUGAUCCAGCCAUGCCGCGUGUGUGAAGAAGGUCUUCGGAUUGUAAAGCACUUUAAGUUGGGAGGAAGGGCAUUAACCUAAUACGUUAGUGUUUUGACGUUACCGACAGAAUAAGCACCGGCUAACUCUGUGCCAGCAGCCGCGGUAAUACAGAGGGUGCAAGCGUUAAUAGGAAUUACUGGGCGUAAAGCGCGCGUAGGUGGUUUUUUAAGUUGGAUGUGAAAUCCCCGGGCUCAACCUGGGAACUGCAUUCAAAACUGACUGACUAGAGUAUGGUAGAGGGUGGUGGAAUUUCCUGUGUAGCGGUGAAAUGCGUAGAUAUAGGAAGGAACACCAGUGGCGAAGGCGACCACCUGGACUAAUACUGACACUGAGGUGCGAAAGCGUGGGGAGCAAACA
rnacentral:rRNA from 1 species